UACGAAGGGGGCUAGCGUUGCUCGGAAUCACUGGGCGUAAAGGGUGCGUAGGCGGAUCUUUAAGUCAGGGGUGAAAUCCUGGAGCUCAACUCCAGAACUGCCUUUGAUACUGAGGAUCUCGAGUUCGGGAGAGGUGAGUGGAACUGCGAGUGUAGAGGUGAAAUUCGUAGAUAUUCGCAAGAACACCAGUGGCGAAGGCGGCUCACUGGCCCGAUACUGACGCUGAGGCACGAAAGCGUGGGGAGCAAACAGGG
rnacentral:rRNA from 1 species